rnacentral:misc_RNA from 1 species
GUUUCCGUUUCCGUGCUACAUAGGUGACAACCAUGUGAUUGCACUUGAAGGGGAGUGUUGAAAUCCAACAUCCAAAGAAUAUGAAGUAACAGAGUAAUACAUAAGUGGUAGGGUUGCAACAUUAACUUAGCUAGUUAUUUUGAUGUGUAAAGUAAACUAAUCAAUUAUAUAAGCCCGAAUUAAAAAUGAAUUAAAGUGUAAUUUUACCAUCUCUCCAAAAUUUAAUAGAUUCACAUGCAUGAUUGAAGGUGGAGAUAAGAAGGAUGGAGAUCCAUUACCAUAUCUUUCAAAUAAAGAGUAAUAAAUUAGAAACGCUGCCCAUAAAAUUGGGCUUCACUAAAACAGCCGGGUAUAAAAUGUUCCAAAAAUGAUUCAGAAAUCUAAACCAUAUGAUUUUCAGAUUAUGCUAAUGAUUUCUGAAAUACAAUAGGUUGAUUGGUAUCUAAAGUCAACUGAUGCUUAUCAUAUGAUCAGCUAAUUCUAGCAAAACAGCCAUCUCCCACAAGUACGAUU